rnacentral:lncRNA from 1 species
CCUAACCUCAAGUGAUCCACCUGCCUCGGCCUCCCAAAGUGCUAGGAUUACAGAUGUGAGCCACUGUGCCUGGCUCCCACCAACACACUAGUCUUAAACUUUCCAUUUGAGAAAAGAGCAGAUGAGAAAGCUGUUCAUGAAGCAAGGUGACUUCUGUUAUUAAAUCAACACCACAGGGCAGGCUCGCUCUCCCCUACUUACUAUUUUUACGAAGAAAGGUUUAAAAGCCACCCCACAGCAUCCUCUCAGAGGUAAAACUCUUGCUGCAGGGAUUGCGGAGCCUUCCAAGGCUGAGGUGUCACUGGGCCAGGAGCUGCAUGCGUAAACAGUUCUACUCCAGGUGUUGGGGAAUACAAUUCAACCACCAACCCCCAGCCAAACUGGUAGCCUGUUUGCAGUGGGUAGGAGGAGAAGAUAGGACUGGUUCUCACCGCUCUCAGCCCACCAUUGCCCACCUGCAUGAGCCAGGGCAUAUCCUGCAUCUUUGUGAGCCUCCAUGCCUGUGCUUUAAAAUGAGCAGAAGUCACUCCUGCUUCUAGAGCUGCGAUGACAAAUACACAGGAUAACCUUUGGAGAUAGCUCUGGGAUGACAUCUGACACAUCAAAGACUCUCAAUCAUUGUUCUCGUUCCUACUUUGGUCCAUAAUGAGAGACUAUUCACAGAUAAGAACUCUUUAUAUUCUCUAGAAGAGAAACCAGAACAAAACACAGGCACACAUCUGCCCUUAGAAACUUCUGUUCAAAUGAAACUUCAUAAGUAAAAACAAACAAAACCAAGAGAAAAAUAAAGAAAGUAGAGUGGUGACUCAAGUUUGGGGCCACCCAGGCCUCCCUCUGGAUAUUUACAGGCCCAAAGAACACUUGACCAUAAUUUCUUUCAUUGCUUCUCUAACUAGGCAGAGUGGCUGCUUGGAUGUUUUGUUAAAAAUAAUAAAAACAGCAACAUUGUGUUGUUAUUCUUACAAAAGGAAUAUGUUUUCUAUAGUAUAAAAUGAAUAAAAGGUCAUAUUCAUAUCACAUAUUUGGGAAUAUCAUGUCAUAUUUUUCAAUAAAUCCUGUUGCCAUUUUUAUUGUAAAAAGUUAAAUCAUAUAAUAAUUGCUAUUUUUAGCAAUUAUUGCUAAAUCAUAUUGCUAAUAUGAUAACAUCUUCAUAUUAACCAUGUUGACAAUGUACCCUGAACAUCUUCUUAUGUUAAUGCAUAUUCUUCUCUAUAUUAUUUUUAAUGGCUACAUAGGUUUUUGUCGUAUGAAUAAUGAAUCAUUAUUUACUUAGCUGUUCAUUAUUGAUGAACAUUUACGUUAUAUUCUGCUUUUGAAUGAUUGUAUUUUUGUUAAAAAUCAAUGCAUUGAUGAGCUUUCUUAAUUUUUCCACGUCUCCCUGUUCUUUCCACUGGAGGAUCACUAAACUUUAGAUGUAUAGAGCCAAAUGGGGUAGCUGGGGUGGUGGAAAAGGGAAAGAGACAACUUACCCACAGAGCUCCAUUUACAAUAGUAAAGGGAGCUACGCAAGGGUUUAUAGAUCUAUCGGGAGAGACUUAUUAUACCUAUACCUCAAAUGAAUCGGUUACCACACUGUUUCUGAAAAACAACAACUGCUAGAGGACAUUCCAAAAUGAUGGGGAGAAAAAAAUUAAUCAUCAGAGUUCAGAAUAAGGUGCAAAUGAGUGAUAGAGGACUCUGGAGAGGGUGCCUGAUUGGAGGGAAAAUGCCCAAGGAAGGAAGCAGGCACACAGGCAAGACUGAAAAGGGAGGAGCAGACUUCCUCUGUGGUUUCACAUCAAGGAUAUAUUAGUCUGUUUUCACACUGUUAUAAAGACCCACCCAAGACUGGGUAAUUUAUAAAGAAAAGUGGUUUAAUUGACGGACAGUUUCCAUUGGAUGGGGAGGCCUCAGGAAACUUACAAUCAUGGCAGAAAGGGAACAGGCAUAAUUCACAUGGCAGCAGGUAAGAAAGACUGGUGAGUGAAGUGGGAAGAGCCCCUUAUAAGUCCAUCAGAUUUCAGGAGAACCCACUUAUCAUGAGAAUAGCAUGGGGGAAACCACUCCCAUGAUCCAGUCCAGCUCUCUUCCUUGACACGUGGGGAUUACAAUUCAAGAUGAGAUUUGGGUGUGGACAUGAAGCCAAACCAUAUCAAGGGGGCUGCUACCCAGAAAGUGUUGCAUGAGACCCAAAAUUGCCUUCAGUAAGGAACCAGUUCACAACAGUUUGUGCUUUUGUCUUUGCUGGCCUUUGAGGCAAAGGGCUGGGAGGCGCUCGGCCAGGAUUUUGAUCCUGGAGCUUCAGCUGAUUUUGUUGGACAAACUUAAGCCAGUCAAUUAUUGUUUCUGGUCUGAGCCUUCUAAAUCUUUAAAAUAAAGAUAGUGGGUUAAAAAAUAAAUAAGGUCCUUUUCAGAUUCUUUACUUAAAAAAAAAAAAAGUCCAGUCCUCCUGAGAUUUCACAGAGAAAAAAGGAACAAUUUCAUGAAUCAGGAGUUCAUAGAGGGUAGGAGAGGAAACACGCAGGAUCCUCUUCACAAAGUUUAUUAAGCAUCCUCUCCCACAUCAUUAUCAUCCUAUCGCUCAUGCUCUCCCUUCUGGGUCCUGUCAAAUUGCUAUUCAGACCAACUGACUAAUUGUGUCUGAAAAGGGAACGGAAAACCUCCAUGUCAUCGGAUACACUUUUCCUUUGAUGGAUAAGGCGGAAGUUCCAACGAGAGUGUUAGGCAGGAAAAUCCGGCUCCUUCAAACUAAUUGCUGCAUAUCUGAUUUAUUUCCCUCCUUAAUGCUGUUUAUUUUGUUUUUAUUCAAAAUAUAAAAUUGCUCCCUGAGUUGGGAGAUUAACGUCUUUCUUCUUGUUCAGCAACAGAUCAUUUGUGGGCCCUGGUUAUAAAUAGGAGGUUGGAAUCCAUGACUCAUUGUUUUUUCCUUUUUUGUACAGGAUAUCCCCUGAGAUUAACUGUGGUUACUUUUUUUUUUUUUUUUUUUUUAAGUUAGAGACAUCAACCUCUAAUUAUUUGCUGGUUGUUACAUUACAGGUUUUUGUUUUUAGAAAAUGUAAAGGUUUUCUUCUGAGCUUUCUUCCUGGAAGAUUUUUGUGGUUCAAUAAACUAGAAUUUUACACAUCACUGGGCAAUGACUUGACUGCUUACAUUUUUGAUGGAUUCUUCUGUUCAUUCGUUUAAUAAAUAUGCAUUUAUUUUAUGCUUACUCUGUAAAAGUGAC